GAUUGCAACCAGAUAACCCUAAACCCUUCUUCUUCUUCCAACCGCCUCCAGAUUGCAACCCGCUCCGUCGACUCAGACCGUUCUGGAUGCCGCCUUGAUGACCACUCUCUCUCAAGGUAAGUUAUCUUCCUUCAUUAUCGUGCUGAAAUUUCAUCGCUACCCACUUCGUUGUCCGAUUCGGUAACUUUCGCUGUCGCCCUCACUGAAUCGACUACUUUUCUAUUAUCUUUUCAUUUUCUGAAAUCGAGUUUUACUGAAAUCGAGUCUUACUGAAAAAGCCCCAAUUUUUAUUGAAAACCCUAACUAUUUUCCUUCAAAUCCGAAAUUAUUCAUAUUCUUUAGUUUUGAUUCUUUGUUUUUCUUACAUAAUGUUGUAGUUAAUAGUGUUGUAGUGAAUGUUAUGCAUUGAAGGGGACAAGUAGUGAGACACCAGAACAAUGGACUUCAGUGUUAAGUCAUAGAACUUAUAUUCUCUAUAUUGGGGAUAUUUGCUUUGUUAUCAGCAGUUACAUAUUGUUCUUGUUCUUGGUUGUUUGGUUCUUGAUUUAAUUUGCCAUUAAAAUCAUUCACUUUCUUUCUUAAUUUGAUUCUCUAAUUUAACCGCUCUUUCUUUCCCUUUUUGAGAUGCCUAAUAUGUUAAGCCCGCAACAACUAAUUAUUUUAAUUAAAAUUGCCUUUAAAAAUAGGGUUUUCUGCAUGUUAGCAACAGGCCUCUGAUUAAACAAACUUAGUGAGGCGCAAGAAACAUUAAUGUUGGCCCAAAUCUGAUUGAUCUAUUUGUAACUAGCUAGAUUUAUUAUUGUUUGUGUCUUUAACAGAUUAUUUCAAUUUGUUUUUUUUGUUAAGUUGUAACUGCUCAUUUGUGUCUAAUUAAAUAGAGUAAGGAAAUAGAAGUUUGGGUAUUCAAUUAUUUUAUUUCAGAUUGGUGGUUAUUAGGGAGAGGAUAGGACAGGCUCUUGAACAACAUGUGGAUAUUUGUAAUAGUUCUGUUUCAUUUAAGUCCUCAACAAAACAUCACCAUUCACUACAACAUCUUACUUUACUAGUUACUGGUUCUAACAUAUAUAAUAAUUCAGCAUUCUAACUCCACAACUAAGCAAUGCAGGAAACAAAAGUAAUAAAGUGUGAUAAUGCUUUGAUAGUGACGAUAGCGGCAAUAUAACAUAGUGGAUUUUGAUGAAUCCACUAUGAAGAUCCCAGAGCUAUCCUUGUUUUGCUAUUAGGGUCUUGUAGCCAGACAUAGCAGCAAUAGUGGAAAAUAGAAUUUUAGGGGUUCUAAAAAUAAUAAAACUGAGAAGUUCGUAUGUGUGCCAAACAUGACUUAUUUGUAAAAUAAGGUGACUGAAGAGUGCGAAUAUCACUCUAUGUUCAUUUUAAUAUGUAAACGUUUCCACGUAUAAUGUAAGACCCAUAAUUUUAAAGUAUACUUUAUGUAUUUUUGUGUAUUUUAGAUAUUGGCUCGGAGGCUUUUUAGCCAAAGUUAUUAAUAUUUUGGAGUUUAUAUGAUCAAAAAGAUAUUUUGAUGCCGAUUAGAAUUACUCGUCGAUAAAUAAAUUAAAUUAACUGCGGUGAAUCUUUUAUGAAGAAUUUAAUGUGUUACGGGUGAAAUGGUAAUUUUAAUAAAUAUCUAGAUAUUUGUUAAGUUAUAAUUAAUAUAUAUAUAUAUAUAUAUAUAUAUAUAUAUAUAGCAUAAAUCAUAAAAUCGUGGGAUAUUACGAUCUCAGUCACCCCUUCUGAUCUAUCAUGCACGCAGAAUCGCUUUCAGCUGAGAUCGAACAAGAUUGUGUGAAAAAUUGCAAAAAUCAUGAGAUUGGGCAAUUUCCAGCGAUCCCAAAAAAAAAUUGAUUCAGGCCGGGUUUUGCGACUCAAGUCCCCAAAAAUGGGAUGUAGAGUACUAAGACCCUUCCCUCUGACGACUUCCCUACCAUCACCCAUAGUUUCCAACGAGCAAAGUGUUGAACAAAUAGGAAAAGAAAGAGAAGAAGAAAGAGAGUGUUGAUCUGUACAACUGCUUUCCAGGAGAGUUGCGGCUGUAUUGUUCUAAAAAUAACUAUAUAGUAUAUAUGUAUUAUAUCUAUUUUAGUGUAUUUGUUAUUAUGGUAAGAUCUUACAAUCUUUGUUAUGAUUCUACCUUUUAGAUCUUGCACCCCCCCUCUCGAUUUUGGGUAGCAUCUCGCUCAUGACAACAUUGGGGGGCAGUAUGGCUACUUCGUCGAAGUUCGAGGAAACAAAUUAAAAAAUGCACAAAAUUUAUAUUUAUACCAUACACGUAUAAAAGCUAAAAAGUCAAAGAAACCUACUCUGAGUGGACUGGAAACAGGCCGUUGGCUGCAUAACAGGCCGCUCUGUGAAGCACAAGAAAUACAAUAAAAAUGGAAAAAAGGCCUUCAAUGGGAAUCAAUCUCGGUCCUUUUAGUUAUGGAAAAGCGCUCAGCCGCUGUGCUGCAGUAGUUAUUUGGAAUAUAAAUGGCAAAAGUAAUAUAUAUUUUUGAUUUUUGAUGAAUACACACACACAUUUAAUACUGAUACUACUAUAACUUAUACAGUUUCAAGUAGUGACUUGGCAAUUCGACGAAUGAGUCAAUGACCCAACCCAACACCCUCAUCAAGUUGAAUACCAGUUAGGGUUUUAUCACCUUGGGCGCUAGUCCAGUUUUCUCCCGGAGAUACUUGUUCCUAAUUUUACUCUUUUUUUAUAUCAUGUCCACUCACCAACCUCAGAAUUCUAACCAGUCAUCUUCGUAUGCACUUAAUUCUUUCUCUUGUUGCCUUUUACUAUCCCACACUCACUAUCAUAGAGUGAUUCCCGGGAAUUGGGGUGCUCAAGCUGAUAUUUGAAUUUAACUGCCCACUUUAUGGUUUAAAAUAACAUUAUAGUGUGUAGGUAUUCCCAAUGAGCAAUGAAUAUAGGUAUAAAAUAUGAAGAAAGUGGAUUGGUGUAUUAGUGUGUGUCAGUAUGUAUAAAAUGAAGAAGAUAUGGUAUGUCGGCAUCCUCAUAUAUACUUGUAAAGUACUCCAUUUAUUUCAGCAUUGUUACCUUUUUUGUGAACAUGAUAUUCUCUUGUGGAUGAAUGACUUUGUUCAAAUAUACCUAUUUAUGGAGGGAAGGAUUCAAGAUUGUCAAUCUUAUUUGUGAAGUGUCCUAGUCAUUUUUUUUAUCACAAUUGUCAAACUUUAUACUGCUGGAACACCUACGAUAUACAGCAUUAUCCAACACUGAUGCUUUUCUGAUACUUUGUAGUAUACAAGCCAUUUUUUUAAGUUGUCUAAUUUUCAUACAGCUGGGACACUUAAAGAAUACAACUCAAGAAGUUUUAAUACAAAACUUAGAACCUUUCAUCUGAACAGGCAGAUCUUUAAUUUCUUUGAUGUUAGACUUACGACUCAUUUCAUCUUAUUUUCCAUUCCAUGUGCCAGUAUCAACACUUUUUUUUUUCAUCUCUUUUUCUGCUUAUUAUUGCAAAAUUGUGGCUUUGAUAUUUUGCUACAUAGUUUUCUUUUUUAAUAAUUAUAUAUUUGUUUCAUAAUCGUAAUUUCCUUUCGUUUGAGGAACUUCCCUAAUUUGACAUAAUCGAUUUGCCAAUCAAUUUUAUAAUAUGUUUUUCAAAACCAUUUAAGAAAUCGAUUUGGAAAUCGAUUUGGCCAUACAGGAAUUCAGGAAAACUGACAAAAUCGAUUUGGAAAUCGAUUGGCAUUAAGUCAGGGGCUCAGCUAUUCAUUCAAUUGAUUGCCCAAUCCAUUGCUCAAUCGAUUGAAUUAAGCCCAGAGUUCAAAUUUCACUAAAAACCUUCAGGAAAUCGAUUUGGAAAUCGAUUGGCAUUAAGUCAGGGGCUCAACUAUUCAUUCAAUUGAUUGCCCAAUCGAUUGAAUUAAGCCCAGAGUUCAAAUUUCACUAAAAACCUUCAGGAAAUCGAUUUGGAAAUCGAUUGGCUUAGUAGAAAUUCUUAUUUUGAGUUAGAUAACAGAUUGCUCAAUUGAUUUAUCAAUGUCUUGGUCAGUUAUGUAUUACUUGAUGGAUUGAGAACUUUAUUUUGAUUUCAUUUUUAAUUGGCAAGCAUUAUAUGAACUUUUAGCAUAUGGAAAAUCCUUUUAAGGGGCAUGCUUAGUUGAAAGGUUAUUUCGUGCAUUUAAAAACUUAAAUGUUAUGUGUUAACUGUUAAUUUCGGUUGGUGACCCUUUACAACUAUUGUGGAAAUUUGGGCUUUGCCCUCAGAUGAGAGGCAGAACGAUCUUACCGGUUCGUAUCCUACGGAUGGGAAUGUAGAUGGGAAUGCUUGACUGGAGCUAUGUUAGGAGGAUCUCACGGGGCGCGUGGAGAUCACUCAGGGUGUAUAGC
rnacentral:lncRNA from 1 species